AUGGAGGAUGUACCUAACUCAGUGACAGAAGAAGCGACACCAUUUCAAAAUAUGAAUAAUAUACAGAAGCUUGAAACUGUUAUGUCCCAACAACAUAUGCAAAAUAGCCUGUCUCCGCCACUGAAGUGGACCACCCCUGACUGUACUCAUAAAGUUCCACAACACCAAAUCAAUGCUGGCCAAGGAAAUACGGAUAGAGCAGAUGAAAGUCAUGCAUAUGUGAUGCAAUCUGAACCCAAUAGUGGUGAAGGAAGAGAGGAAAAGGGGGUUUCAACACACAUUGAUAAAGGAGAAGAAACACGGGUCAAGCGAGCAUGUCAUGGUGGAUCAGCAAGAGGAGUACAAGUAGAAGCUAAGGGACAAGGAGGAGGAGAUCACAGACAAUAUCAUGGAGGUCGAGUUAGCGGGUGGGAUGUCCCACCCCCUGGAUUUGGAAUUCUCAAUCCCAAUCCUCUUGAGGGUACUGUCUUUGGGACUGGCUCGUCUUCUGACCACCACUAUUGCACAUCAAGGAAGAUGGGUGUUGGUCCUUCUGUGCGCAGAAACAAGCGUCAAACCAUGGGGCAAAUGUCUCACCCCUAUCCCCCUCCACGCAAGAGAGAAGGUCUAGUGAUGGAACCUAAUGAGUGUGAUUCACCUGCAAAUAGACUUCCUUAUACUUCAUCCCCAAUUCCCAGUGAAGCUUCUUUUGGCUCUAAUAUGGGAGCUUUCCCACAAUCUCACGCUGUUGAUUACCAUCAGUCGGCUCUGGAUGUUAAUCUUGACACUUACAAGGCUGGGACUCCAUCCUCUUUUCAAGGUGAGAGUAAGCCUAGCUUGAUGGUACAUGGGGAUACUAUGGCUGUGUCAGAACCUCUUCGUGAAGAACAAAUGGAACUGGAUAGGGCAAUGGUGCCAGCCCAUAAGGCACCACGGGCGCCAUGA
rnacentral:rRNA from 1 species